AAAGCCUCAUCUUCUAACUUUAUUUUACUGGAGAAACACUGCAAAUGAGGGACUACCAAGUACUUGCCCAUCUGUCGGUAGGGUGUUUCAUUACCUCUCAUUUGACUAUUGGUGUUUAUGUAAACUCCCCAAGUUGAGAAUUUUAGAGGAUUAAAUGGUGGAAUUUAAACACCAAAUUACCACCACAACUUCUCACAGAAAUUAGCUGGACAAAGUACUGUGAGCUCAUAUUCCCAAGUUUGCUUUGUCUUUUAGAUGCUUUGUUUUCUUACUGGCACAGGGAGUUCUUUGUUCUAUCUUGAAUGCUGACGAGGCAUCUCUAUCAAUAACUGCUCCUUUGUGUAUCCUCUGAAGACUAGUUUAGGUUAUUUAAAUUUUUACUCCAAAAAGAUUUGAAAUGGGUAUCUCUUAAGUUAACCCUGAACUGGAAAUUCACUUCCAUUUCUCAAAUUUUUCUCAGCGAAAAUGUCAUUCAUUGCACUCCAGAUUGUCUGCAUUGAACAGAAUGACAGCUUAAAGCCCUCCCAUUCCAUGUUAGCAACAGAAAAUCCCCCAAAUUUGUUUGUUAUGAACUCCUCUUAUUAAAUUCCCACAGCUAUGAUCUCCCUAUGAAUUAAAAUUAAAGCAAAUGAAAUAUAAAAGUCUGCUCUCUGGUUUCUUAUACUGCUCAGUCUCAGCCAGAAGCCAUUCUCUUAAAUGUUUGGGUCAAGUCAGGAUAACUUUUUUUUUUUUUUUUUUUUUGUCUUUUUGCCAUUUCUUGGACUGCUCUUGCGGCAUAUGGAGGCUCCCAGGCUAGGGGUCUAAUUGGAGCUGUACCCACCCGCCUACACCAGGGCCACAGCAACACGGGAUCCGGGCCACAUCUGAUCUGCAACCUACACCACAGCUCACGGUAACACUGGAUCCUUAUCCCACUGAGCAAGGCCAGGGAUCGAACCUGCAACCUCAUGGUUCCUAGUCGGAUUCAUUAACCACUGCCUCACAACGGGAACUCCAAGUCAGGAUAACUUCUUCAGCAACUUUAGCAUAGACUGUUUUCCUUUGGAAUAGAUUAAGUUAGUUUAGCACCUCCAAAUCUGAAUUUCUCCAAUUUCAAAUCUGAAUUUCUCCAAUUUCAUUGGUGUCACAUGUUUUCAUUAUGUCAAAGGUCUCUAGGGCUUUUUUUGGUUUUAUUUUUGUUUUACUUAUUUAUUUUUGGCUGUGCCUGUGACAUGUGGAAGUUCCCAGGCUAGGUAUCCAUCCUGCGCCUCAGCAAUGACCCAAGUCGCUGCAGUGACAACACUGGAUCCUUAACCUGCUGUGCAAGAAGAGAACUUCAUCACCCCAUCCCCACAAACCUGAAAAGAUACAAGUACAUCUCUUAUCUCUACAAUAAAUAGUGCAGAGGCUGACAUAUUAUUAUACAGCCCUAACCCACAUUGUUUCCAGCCAAAAACAGAGAAAUUUCCGUUUCUGGGGGAACAGAGUUUUCAAAGAAAACAAAAUCUUGGCUUUUGAUGUUGACAGGUUGCCAGUCUGUGUCAGCUGUUCGUAACUGAUAGACUCUAAGACUAAAGUCAGUUGGGAAGAAUCACCUAUCCAGAGGCCAGUAGGGACACUGUGUUUACUGGAUAGGGAAGGAAUUUCACCUGUGCAUGAUAAUGCUUUGUUGGCAUGAGACAUUGUUUUACUUGGGUAAAAUGUUAGAAAUUUGUCAGGGGGAUUUCUCUCUCCUAGAGGUUUCUUUUUUCCUUGUUGUCACAUUUAAAGAUUAAUUUUCAUUUUGUUUUUGAACCCUGUGGUCCUGGCUACCCAGUGCUCAAAUGAUUGAGUUUUGUCUAGUGACAAAGUUGUCCCUCCCUCUUGGGAUGAUUGAGUUUUGUCUAGUGACAAAGUUGUCCCUCCCUCUUGGGAGGAGAGUGAUCCACACUUGUAAUGGGCACUUGUGCAAAGCAAGUUUGUGGCUUUGCAUGCUGCGCUCCAGUUUUGAUCCUCCUGGUCUAUCUAUACCUUUGUGUCCUCAUCACAAUCCUGUCCUGCUAUGAAAUUCCUUAUAUAAAUUAAUCUUACUUCUUUGAGGAGCCUUUCUUUUUUCCUUUCCAUUUGUUUCAGCUGAAGCAUGACAUUUAAGGGGUUCCUAUAAGGCCUGUGCUCCUCUAACUUUGCCUUUCUUCAUUAUUUGUUUUCUAGGCUUUGGUCAGAGCAGACACAUUGCUUUCUGUUACUUAUUUGUGUCAAAAUUGGCUGUCUGUGAAUCCAUUUGUUCCUUUCAGACAGUCCCCAGUUGAGUUGUUAACACAUUUAAGUUGAAUAUUUCCCUGUCCUAUAGAGCUAACAUCGUUGAGAUCAAACGCCUCUUUUCCUUUUUGGCCCAGAUACUUUGCUACCAUACUUCUACUAGUGCCUUUGAAAGUCUGUAGACUUUGCCAUCGUGGCAAUUAAGAAGUCUUUGUGUAGUAAUUACUGCCAACCCUUACCACUCUCAGUAAGGUAAUUGCAGUUAUGGGGAAGCCCAACAUCUAAUAUAGGCCUGGACUGUGUCUGAGUUAUUGGCUUCCCAUAAUGUGACUUAGUGCUCUUCCUUAGUCUUAUCUCCACAAACUUCCCAGGUAUGUUUCAGUAGAGCAUGUACUAUUCCUGUCUUCCCAUCAGAUCAUCUUGCAGAUUAUUUAAUGUUGUAUGAAAUACACUAUUACUGAUCUUCCUUUUCCCUUUUCAAAUCUAUCUGAAUUUACUGUAAUCACUGGGACUGCUAUAACUGUCCCUGUCUUUUGAGGGCAGUCCUUUAAUUAUGUGUUUGAUUUUUUACUUUUAGCUUUAAAAGAAUCUUAUUUAAAAAUUCUUAAAGGGAGUUUCCAUUGUGGCUCAGUGGAAACAAACCUGACUAGUGUCCAUGAGGAUGCAGGAUGCAGGUUCAGUCUGUGGCCUUGAUCCAUAGGUUAAGGAUCCAGCAUUGCCAUGAGCUGUGGUAUAGGUUGCAGAUGUGGCUUGGAUCCCUCAUUGCUGUGGCUGUGGUGUAGCCUGGCUGCUGUAGCUCUACUUCGACCCC
rnacentral:lncRNA from 1 species